UACAGAGGUGGCAAGCGUUGUUCGGAAUUACUGGGCGUAAAGCGUGCGCAGGCGGCUUACUAAGACAGGUGUGAAAGCCCCGAGCUUAACUUGGGAAUGGCGCUUGUGACUGGUAGGCUGGAGUGUGGCAGAGGGAGGUGGAAUUCCACGUGUAGCAGUGAAAUGCGUAGAGAUGUGGAGGAACACCGAUGGCGAAGGCAGCCUCCUGGGCCAGCACUGACGCUCAUGCACGAAAGCGUGGGGAGCAAACAGG
rnacentral:rRNA from 1 species